rnacentral:rRNA from 1 species
CCUACGGGGUGCUGCAGUGGGGAAUAUUGGACAAUGGGCGAAAGCCUGAUCCAGCCAUGCCGCGUGUGUGAAGAAGGCCUUCGGGUUGUAAAGCACUUUCAGUGGGGAAGAAAGCCUUGGGGCUAAUACCCUCGAGGAAGGACAUCACCCACAGAAGAAGCACCGGCUAACUCCGUGCCAGCAGCCGCGGUAAUACGGAGGGUGCGAGCGUUAAUCGGAAUUACUGGGCGUAAAGCGCGCGUAGGCGGUCUGAUAAGCCGGUUGUGAAAGCCCCGGGCUCAACCUGGGAACGGCAUCCGGAACUGGCAGGCUAGAGGGCAGGAGAGGAAGGUAGAAUUCCCGGUGUAGCGGUGAAAUGCGUAGAGAUCGGGAGGAAUACCAGUGGCGAAGGCGGCCUUCUGGACUGAAACUGACGCUGAGGUGCGAAAGCGUGGGUAGCAAACAGGAUUAGAUACCCGGGUAGUC